rnacentral:lncRNA from 1 species
AAUCGAUAACUACAAUCUCAAAACCUGAGUUAAACCACUUAAACUUAAUUAUCCAAAUAACAAGUAAACAUCAACACACUGAAAUCUAUCUCUCAAGCUAUUAUUUAAAAAGUUGACAAUCAUAAUUGGAGUCAACUGAUCUUCACUAAUGUCAAAUACCCAAAUAGUUCUCACAAGGGAUGAAACUAAAAUAUUUUCAAAGAACAUAACCACCAAUAGGCAAACAAUAGGCUAAA